GAUAAACGCUGGCGGCGUGCCUAAUACAUGCAAGUCGAGCGAACGGACGAGAAGCUUGCUUCUCUGAUGUUAGCGGCGGACGGGUGAGUAACACGUGGAUAACCUACCUAUAAGACUGGGAUAACUUCGGGAAACCGGAGCUAAUACCGGAUAAUAUUUUGAACCGCAUGGUUCAAAAGUGAAAGACGGUCUUGCUGUCACUUAUAGAUGGAUCCGCGCUGCAUUAGCUAGUUGGUAAGGUAACGGCUUACCAAGGCAACGAUGCAUAGCCGACCUGAGAGGGUGAUCGGCCACACUGGAACUGAGACACGGUCCAGACUCCUACGGGAGGCAGCAGUAGGGAAUCUUCCGCAAUGGGCGAAAGCCUGACGGAGCAACGCCGCGUGAGUGAUGAAGGUCUUCGGAUCGUAAAACUCUGUUAUUAGGGAAGAACAUAUGUGUAAGUAACUGUGCACAUCUUGACGGUACCUAAUCAGAAAGCCACGGCUAACUACGUGCCAGCAGCCGCGGUAAUACGUAGGUGGCAAGCGUUAUCCGGAAUUAUUGGGCGUNAAGCGCGCGUAGGCGGUUUUUUAGUCUGAUGUGAAAGCCCACGGCUCAACCGUGGAGGGUCAUUGGAAACUGGAAAACUUGAGUGCAGAAGAGGAAAGUGGAAUUCCAUGUGUAGCGGUGAAAUGCGCAGAGAUAUGGAGGAACACCAGUGGCGAAGGCGACUUUCUGGUCUGUAACUGACGCUGAUGUGCGAAAGCGUGGGGAUCAAACAGGAUUAGAUACCCUGGUAGUCCACGCCGUAAACGAUGAGUGCUAAGUGUUAGGGGGUUUCCGCCCCUUAGUGCUGCAGCUAACGCAUUAAGCACUCCGCCUGGGGAGUACGACCGCAAGGUUGAAACUCAAAGGAAUUGACGGGGACCCGCACAAGCGGUGGAGCAUGUGGUUUAAUUCGAAGCAACGCGAAGAACCUUACCAAAUCUUGACAUCCUUUGACAACUCUAGAGAUAGAGCCUUCCCCUUCGGGGGACAAAGUGACAGGUGGUGCAUGGUUGUCGUCAGCUCGUGUCGUGAGAUGUUGGGUUAAGUCCCGCAACGAGCGCAACCCUUAAGCUUAGUUGCCAUCAUUAAGUUGGGCACUCUAAGUUGACUGCCGGUGACAAACCGGAGGAAGGUGGGGAUGACGUCAAAUCAUCAUGCCCCUUAUGAUUUGGGCUACACACGUGCUACAAUGGACAAUACAAAGGGCAGCGAAACCGCGAGGUCAAGCAAAUCCCAUAAAGUUGUUCUCAGUUCGGAUUGUAGUCUGCAACUCGACUACAUGAAGCUGGAAUCGCUAGUAAUCGUAGAUCAGCAUGCUACGGUGAAUACGUUCCCGGGUCU
rnacentral:rRNA from 1 species